CUGAACAGAGGUCCUUGAAAGGAAAGAAAUUGUUGGAGUGGUAUGCAGAUAUUCAGCAUCUCAAGAAAAAUCCCAAUCAUGCAAGAUCCUAAAAUAAAACUGAGGAAAUGAUGUGUGUGUGUAUGCACGUGCACUGAAAAAUGCUGAGCUAGUUGGAGAAAGCACAAA